CCGCGAAACCCGCCCCCGGCGGGUCUGCCCGGCGUGGCGGCCAGGCACUGACGAGCAGCCAGAC
rnacentral:hammerhead_ribozyme from 2 species